rnacentral:sRNA from 1 species
GGCAUCUGAGGAGUUUGAGGAGUUGACUAUGAAUCGCAUCUCAACUGAAGGAUGGAUGAUCACACCGGAAAAGUUUCCCAACCUUAGGAUCUUGCAUUUAACCUCAUUGAAUAUUGUGAACAACAAUUUCUUCCCUCAAUCAAUCAAGACUCUCAAGGAGGUGGAGAUCUCUCAAAGCUGCAUUCAGACACUAGACUCAUGUUUUCUGAAUGCAGUUGAGGCUAAUGCAGAACACCUUGAUUUGGAUCUGAAAUAUGACAAUAUUGCACAAAUCACAUGUUAUAAACCUGCGGCACGGCCCAGGGCUUAUUGGAUAAGAACCAAAGAGUGCAG